CACCGGGUCCGCAUGCACGCCUGCCCCACUGUCUGGGGAAGCCGUUUGUCAGGCUGUUGUAAGGAGAGCUUGUGGUAAUGGGUAAGCCACCUCCUGGCUUCCCCAAAGAGUGUCGCUCUAGGUCCUUUGACUCAUAAACAACACGAUGCACUGUGAUGACAAUUAAAGUGAAGGCUACUGCCACCAAGCCAGAGUUCAGGAGCAGCCAGACCGUGACAUUCAUUUUGAAUGUUUCAAAUUUAACAGCCUCCUGCCGCUGAUGAGGAGAGGCUCUCAUCUCCACAGUGCAGAAUGACAAAUGAUGAGGAAACAGAGGCUGGAAGAGGUUAGGGAAUGUGUCCAACACUUCACAGCUAGUGGGUAGCAGAGCUGGGAUUCACACCCUGGCAACCUGACCGGAGAGCGCCCGCCUUGAACCACCACCCUCUACAAAGGAAAAUUUCCAUUCUGACCUAGGCAUUCGCUAGCUUUGUGACCCUGGGCAAAUUACUAAACUUCUCCAAGCCUUUCUCUCCUCUGCAUUGGGACUGAAAAGAGAAGCUACCUGACAUGAGGACCGAACAGGAUGACGUAAGUAAAGCACUUAGCACUGGGCCUGGCCCACGGGAAGCACUCACAUGUCACCCCAUAGCAGUGGUUUGGGCAGGAUGAGCAUCGCUCUCCAGCCUUCACCAGGACCUGAAGUGAGACAGGAUACAGUGCGUCCCCAUCACCCCUUGAUGGUGUGGCAGCCACUCAUGGGCAGGACUGUGAAGUCUCGGGUCCUCAAGUCCAGAAGUGACGCCCAUGAUGGUCGGUGCACAUUACCUUGGCACCAGGAAGUUCUUCACACUGGAACGUGCACCGGCUCCCCCUCAUCUAGAAGAGAGAUCGUCCACGCCAUGCUGUCCACCUACCCCAUCCCACCCCCAUAAACCCUGCCCCUGGCCCCAUCUGCUAUUUCCUGCUUGCUCUUCUUCAGAUUUAAAUCGAGAAUCCGGAACGAGUUCACAAACAUCUUAGACUUCUCCUUUAUUACCUGCCUAACUUCUUUGGCAAUCAGCUGUGGAGGGUUAUGCAAUCCAUGUUUGAAGAAGCAUUGAUGAUCUAAUCUGGAGGCAGUGCUGUGGAACCCACAGUG